UCUUUGUUUUUAUGCUUCCUUUUGUAUGUGAUUUCUAUUAUGUGAAAAGUGGAAGAGCGAACAUUUUCAGAAAAAGUUCAGUCAUUAUUCACGGAAUUUCUAUACAAAGUUAACAGUAUAAAAUCGACCUGAAUUAAUUAGUGUUUUCAUUGAUGUUUAUUUCUAAUGAACAAAAAAAAAUGGCAGGUCCAUCCAAACGUUCCCUGCAUGCUGUUUACCCCAAUCUGUCCACAUUCGCUCUCAUUUAGACCAGUUAUACUUCCAGAUUCUGCUCAACUUGAAUUAAAGAUUCCAGAGAACGCAAGAAGCAACGCCUGGGUUUCAUUUGAUGGAAAGAGAAGGCAGCAACUUUCAAGAGGAGAUUCGGUUCGAAUAUCUAUGAGUCAGCGCCCGCUUCCAACAGUUAAUAAGUUUGACCAAACAGGUGAUUGGUUUCAUAGCUUGAUUCGCUGCCUAAAUUGGAAUGAAAGGCUUGAUCAGAAGGCCCUAUAAA